CGGCGGAGCAUAGCGGAUUAAUUCGAUGCAACGCGAAGAACUUACCAAGGCUUGACAUACACCGGUAACGCCCAGAGAUGGUGCCCCUUGUGGUCGGUGUACAGGUGGUGCAUGGUUGUCGUCAGCUCGUGUCGUGAGAUGUUGGGUUAAGUCCCGCAACGAGCGCAACCCUCGUCCUAUGUUGCCAGCGGGUCAUGCCGGGGACUCAUGGGAGACUGCCGGGGUCAACUCGGAGGAAGGUGGGAUGACGUCAAAUCAUCAUGCCCCUUAUGUCUUGGGCUUCACGCAUGCUACAAUGGCCGGUACAAAGGGCUGCGAUACCGCGAGGUGGAGCGAAUCCCAGAAAGCCGGUCUCAGUUCGGAUUGGGGUCUGCAACUCGACCCCAUGAAGUCGGAGUCGCUAGUAAUCGCAGAUCAGCAACGCUGCGGUGAAUACGUUCCCGGGCCUU
rnacentral:rRNA from 1 species